ensembl:lncRNA
UCAGAUGCUGCAGUGCAUGAAGACUCUUAUGUUCACUCUUGCCACCAACAGGACAUCUGGUGGGUUUUAUUUUUUGUUCAGACAUUAGUUAGCAGCUGCAGGAAGUAAAUAAACCUGGAAGACAGAGGCAGCUACUCGGUCUGAUGGUUCACCUGGACAGUGAUGGGGCAGGGCUACACAAAGCUGGACCCCUAUUGGUCAAGAAUUACCAAACACAGACACGGAUUUGCACCAGAUGGGACCGUUAAGGGCUUUAUAGGAGGGAAAGGUUUUAAAUUCUGCUCUGAAACCGAUCAACCCUCACAUUACAAAGCUAUUCAUUUCACCUCAAUAUGUUCACUAUUUUAUGUGGAAGCAGAAAAGCUCUACAUGAGAAAUAAGUAGACUGGAUCUGAUGCAAAGCUAUACUUUAUUUGAAAGAGGAGAUACAAGGAGUCGGACCAAGGACCUCUGCAGUUGUGGAUGGACUGGUCCAGAUGUGUAAUGGAAGUGCUGGUUGUGGAACUGUCAGCAUCAAUCAUCUGAGACCUCACCACUGCUGUCAGACAGCUCGUCAUCCCCAGAAGAGUCGUAAUCCCCAGACGCCUCAUCCCCAGAAGCAUCAUCAUCCAUGAGUUCUGGAUCAGAAGCCUCCAUGUCAUCCAUCCCUCUCCCCAGUCUGGGUUCUAAAGGUGAAAAGGUGUCAUCAUCCUCAGAGUCAUAAUCAUCAUCCUCAGAAUCAUCAUCAUCAUCAUCAUCCUCCUCAUGUUCCUCCAUGUCCUCUGGGUCAUCAGAUGCCUCCAGGUCAUCCAUCCCUCGCCACAGUCUGGGUUCAAAAGGUAACAAGGCAUUCAUCUCGGCAUCAAACAUGUUGGCUGUUGCAGAAUCCUCAUCGUAGUAAUCAUCUCCAGAAGAACCAUCAUCGUAUGCCUCAUCCCCAGAAGCAUCAUUAUCCAUGAAUUCUAGAUCAGAUGCCUCCAUCCCUCUCCCCAGUCUGGGUCCUACAGGUGGCAAGGUGUUCAGCAUUUCUUCAGUUGUGUUUGAAGCUGCAAUUGUGGCAUUAGACUGGGCAUCAGUGAUGUUGGCCAUUGUGGAAUCCUCAUAGUCGGCAUCAUCGGAAUAGUCAUCCUCACCAUCGUACUCCUCUUCAUCGUACUCUUCAUUCUCAGAAUCAUCAGACACCUCCAUGUCAUCCAUCCCUCUCCCCAGUCUGGGUCCUACAGGUGGCAAGGUGUUCAGCAUUUCUUCAGUUGUGUUUGAAGCUGCAAUUGUGGCAUUAGACUGGGCAUCAGUGAUGUUGGCCAUUGUGGAAUCCUCAUAGUCGGCAUCAUCGGAAUAGUCAUCCUCACCAUCGUACUCCUCUUCAUCGUACUCUUCAUUCUCAGAAUCAUCAGACACCUCCAUGUCAUCCAUCUCUCUCCCCAGUCUGGGUCCUACAGGUGAAAAAGUGUCGUCAUCCUCCUCAGAGUCACCAGACGUCUCCAUGUCAGCCAACCCUCUCCCCAGUCUGGGUUUUACAGGCAUCGAGGAGUUCAGUGUUUCUUCAGCUUCCACCGUCAGUGUUGUGGUUGGAGCUGCUAUUGUGGAGUUUGUCUGGGUAUCAGUCAUGUUGGCCGUUGUGUUGUUGGUGUCAGACUCCUCAUCAUCUGACUGCUCUUCAUCCAACUCGUCAUCUGAAUCCUCCUCAUAACCAUCCAACUCUUCAUCAUCCUCAUCAGAAGGGCCAUCAUCUGAUGCAUCCAGGUAUUCUGAGGAAUUGUCCACCAUCUGUGUGAUUACAUUUGACAGGUGCAUUAGCAGAGUUUCCUUCAACAUGUGGAGGUUCUGCUCCUCCCAUCAUUUCAGUUUCCCCUCUCACCUGUCGGGGUUCCACAUUGUGCCAAUGACGAGGAUUCACCCCCCAGUCCCACUGGUCCUGGUGUUGCAGAGCUCUGCGCCGACGAUCCCGCCCAUCUCCUCUGGCUGCACCGAAACAAGCCGCCAGCAUCGUGGACAUCUCCCCAGCCGAAUCCAAAUAGAUCACUUCAAACAUGGAGUCCUGCACAACAUUCAGCCAUUAGUUCUCCACCCAACUAUGACAAACUGGAUGGUGGAUCACUCCAUCCUUACCUUGUCUGCCGGUGUGGAGAUCUGCACCAACACUGGCCCUGGAGUAGUGGUGGUCUGCACCCUCCCAACCACCACAUCUUUCCCCAGAGCCUUCACCUUCUGCAGUCUGCUUCCCUGAGGCAGUUUCACAGCCACUUCUGUGCUCCUGCAGCUCACCGCCGGCAGGGUCCACAUUGCAGGAUCCUCACAGGCGACCACAGCCGUCAUGUUCUCCCGCAGCAGGUGGUCGAAGUAACGCAGCUUCAACUGGUGGAACCACGUUCCAUUUGAAACCU